rnacentral:misc_RNA from 1 species
GAUGAAGAACGCAGCAAAAUGCGAUAAGUAAUGUGAAUUGCAGAAUUCAGUGAAUCAUCGAAUCUUUGAACGCACAUUGCGCCCGCCAGUAUUCUGGCGGGCAUGCCUGUUCGAGCGUCAUUUCAACCCUCAAGCUCUGCUUGGUGUUGGGGACCGGCCGCAGCCUCAGUGCUCUGCCGCCCCCUAAAUACAGUGGCGGUCCCGCCGCAGCCUCCUUUGCGUAGUAGUAAACCACCUCGCACAUGGAACGCAGCGUGACCACGCCGUUAAACCCCCAACUUUCUGAAGUUUGACCUCGGAUCAGGUAGGAAUACCCGCUGAACUUAAGCAUAUCAAUAAGCGGAGGA